GGGAAGUUAAAAAGGUAAGCUAUGGGUUCUGCUGGGAGGGGAAAUGAUUGCUGCCAAAUUUUUGUGAGAGAGGAGAAGUUCUUGCUGCAAGUUCUGGGAAAGAGGAGAAGUGGAGAACUUUUGAAGUUUUGGAGGAGAUAGACUCAAAGAAUUCACAAAGGAAGUCUUCAAGAGGUGGGUUUCUGAGCGUUCGUUCAUAUAUAGUGGAUUAACGAGCGUUGGUGAUAAGGAUUUGAGUAGAGAGCGUCUGUGUGCGCCUGUGAACGUUCGUUCAUUCCAGAUGAAGAUGAACAUUUGGAAGAAAUGCUGGAAGAAGAGAAUCUGGUUGAAGUGGAAGUGAAACUUGGGAUGUUGGCUUGAGUGGUCGUUCGACCUACUUACUCGUUUUCUGUUAAGUUUGACCGUUCAGUAUUUGUACCGUGUAAACCGUUCGGUCAGGUUUUUAUUUGUGCGUUCAACUUCAGAUUGUAACUCUUAUGUGUGGCGUGUGGCUUUUGCACAUUCGUCCGUUAUGUUGGAUUUGUACUCAAGGACGUUCGUCCUUGAGCGUUCAUUCGGUUUUUAAUUUUAGUGGAAAACUGUUUGAGAUUAUUAUUAAAUGUGAUUUUUUCUGAAUUUAUAGUUAUGACUGUAUUUUUGGAAUGUCACAUAUGAAAUGUCAAACUAUACAUUAAAAUUGUUUUUUUUUCUUGGAGACUUAAAGCUAUUAGUCCUAAAUUUUUCUUAAGAUCUUUUGGGAGACCUAAAACAAUUAAUACUAUUUUUUUUUGAGAAAUUCUUUUUCUUGAGUUUUGAGCCGGCUUUGGGCGAAAUCAGGACAAGGUAACUCGAUAAAAGCUUUAUGUUGGAUUUAGAGUAAAUACUGAUUUUAUAUGCGUGUAAUCAAAACCAUUGUUAGAAUGAUUACAUUUGCAACAAAAUAGACAUUAAAGAUUUA